AUAAUUGUUAUCCUUGCAUAUAUUGUAUUAGUGUGUUGAUGGAUGUUGCUUGCGUGUGAAUUGUAGAUCAAGGUUUUGUUUCUGUUUGAUUUAGGUUAAGGGUUUGAGGGGUUAAUUGGUUGCAAAUAAGGUUGGAUCUAUUGUUUAGGGUUACCGGGGGCUUUAUCUGGGUGGUUUAUGGAUAAAUAUAGGUUAAAUUAGGUUAGAGUUAGAGGGAAGAAGAUAAAUCUUCAUCUUCUUC
rnacentral:lncRNA from 1 species